rnacentral:lncRNA from 1 species
GGAGGAACAGAUGGUGCAGGUGGUCCUGGAGGACCUGGAGGUCCUGGAGGUCCCUGUGGCCCAUCAAGUCCUGGUUGUCCAGGAAUGGAAACACCAGGUAAACCUGGAUCUCCCUUCUGUCCUCUCUCACCAGGUAAGCCAGGUGGGCCAGGAGGUCCAACAGUAGUGAUCCCUGGAGAACCUGGCAAGCCAGGUGGGCCUGGCCUACCAGAGAAUCCACGCUCCCCUUUGGCUCCCGGGAGCCCUGGCAAUCCUUUGCUACCUUUUGGUCCCACUGUUGCAUCAAUGCCUGGUCUUGUAAUGACACUCCCAGGAGGGCCAGGAGGACCAACGUCACCUUUUUCACCCUUUUCACCAUCUCUUCCUGGAACACCGUUGACUCCAGGUCCACCAGGUAAACCAUCCCUACCAGGCUGACCAGGUUCUCCAUCUUUGCCCGGCUUUCCUCUUUUGCCUGGUUCUCCUUGCUCACCUUUUUCACCUUUUAUGCCACCGGGAAGACCAGGAGGGCCUUGUGGCCCAGGAAGUCCUGGUGGGCCUGGAUCACCUGGAAUACCCUGAUCUCCUUUCUGAAACUCAAUGUCAUUUGGUCUCUUCUGUUCUCCAAUUUGUCCUGGUGGCCCUGGAGGUCCUUGAAGACCUUGUUCACCUUUUUCACCUUUAGGUCCUUGGAAAUUCAAGCCCAUAUUACCCUUAGGUCCUGGCAGUCCUG